GCCAGUGUGGUGUAGUGGUUUGAGUGUUGGAUUAAGACUCUAGAGACCAGGGUUCGAAUGCCAGUUCAGCCA